rnacentral:rRNA from 1 species
GGGCUCGGGCAGGCUGUCGGCUUCGGUCGGACGGCAGGCUCGGGUCUUUCUGCCUGAGGAUCCCGUGCACUUUAUUGUGGGCGGGGGACGCAGGCCGUUUACUUUGAAAAAAUUAGAGUGUUCAAAGCAGGCCUACGCUUGAAUACAUUAGCAUGGAAUAAUGGAAUAGGACUUUGGUGCUAUUUUGUUGGUUUAUGGGACCGAAGUAAUGAUUAACAGGGACAGUUGGGGCCGUUUAUAUUUCGUUGUCAGAGGUGAAAUUCUUGGAUUUACGAAAGAUAAACUUCUGCGAAAGCAUUCGGCAAGGAUGUUUUCAUUGAUCAAGAACGAAAGUUAGGGGAUCGAAGACGAUCAGAUACCGUCGUAGUCUUAACCAUAAACUAUGCCGACUAGGGAUCAGUGGAUGUCAAUUUGCGACUCCAUUGGCACCUUGUGAGAAAUCAAAGUUUUUGGGUUCCGGGGGGAGUAUGGUCGCAAGGCUGAAACUUAAAGGAAUUGACGGAAGGGCACCACCAGGAGUGGAGCCUGCGGCCUAAUUUGACUCAACACGGGGAAACUUACCAGGUCCAGACAUAGUAAGGAUUGACAGAUUGAAAGCUCUUUCUUGAUUCUAUGGGU